rnacentral:rRNA from 1 species
AUUCCAGCUCCAAUAGCGUAUAUUUAAGUUGUUGCAGUUAAAAAGCUUGUAGUUGGAUUUUGGGUCGGGGGCACCGGUCCGCCGUUCCGGUGUGCACUGGUGGCCCCUUCCUUUCUGCCGGGGACGUGCGUCGCACUUAAUUGGGUGGCGUUCGGAGUCGGCGUUGUUACUUUGAAAAAAUUAGAGUGUUCAAAGCAAGCCAUCGCUCUGAAUACAUUAGCAUGGAAUAACAUGAUAGGACUCCGGUCUUAUUUUGUUGGUUUCCGAGACUGGAGUAAUGAUUAAGAGGGACAGUCGGGGGCAUCCGUAUUUCAUUGUCAGAGGUGAAAUUCUUGGAUUUAUGAAAGACGAACUUCUGCGAAAGCAUUUGCCAAGGAUGUUUUCAUCA